AUCCAGCGUGGGAGCAGCUCAGUGAUUAGCCUGUGGAGCAGGAAAGUCCAGCGAUGGGCAGCUGGUCAUGGCAGUGGGUGAAAGCAGGGGUGGUCAUCUGACGAGGGGAGGGGAAGCAGGUGGUGCCCAGCAAGGUGGAAGGAGAAGUGGACAGGAGAAACCUCGGGGCAUUCCUGAGGGCCCAGGAACUGCAAUAAAUGAUCACAGGUGAGGGGUUCCUGCCCGCUGCCUGCCGGCUGAGCGUGACGAGCUGGGUGGCAGGCGCCUCCCAGGAGGAAGCUGUCUUGGCUUUGGGCGGUGGAUGCUAUGGGUGUGCUUGUGCCUGAGGGGGGCACUCAGGGGAGUUGCGGGCAGCCACCAGCUGAGACCGGCACUCACGGGGUGUGAAGGACUACAGAGAGAGCCAGGUUUUGGUGCCAUGCACACAGGGAAACUUAGAGUUCAGAGAGGGGGUGUGAUUUGCCUGA
rnacentral:sRNA from 1 species